AAACCUACGGGGGGCAGCAGUCGGGAAUAUUGCGCAAUGGAGGAAACUCUGACGCAGUGACGCCGCGUAUAGGAAGAAGGUUUUCGGAUUGUAAACUAUUGUCGUGAGGGAAGAGAUUGACAGUACCUCAGGAGGAAGCUCCGGCUAACUAUGUGCCAGCAGCCGCGGUAAUACAUAGGGAGCAAGCGUUAUCCGGAUUUAUUGGGUGUAAAGGGUGCGUAGACGGGAAAUUAAGCUAGUUGUGAAAUGUCGGGGCUCAACCCCGGCCGGCCGUUGAAACUGGUUUUCUAGAGUUGUAGAGUAGU
rnacentral:rRNA from 1 species